ACUCCUACGGGAGGCAGCAGUAAGGAAUAUUGGGCAAUGGACGCAAGUCUGACCCAGCCAUCCCGCGUGCAGGACGAAUGCCCUAUGGGUUGUAAACUGCUUUUGUUUGGGAAGAAAUGUAUUCUUUUAAGAGUAUUUGACGGUACCAGACGAAUAAGCACCGGCUAACUCCGUGCCAGCAGCCGCGGUAAUAC
rnacentral:rRNA from 1 species